rnacentral:rRNA from 1 species
GCGAGGCCGAAAGGCGUAGUCGAUGGGAAACAGGUUAAUAUUCCUGUACUUGGUGUUACUGCGAAGGGGGGACGGAGAAGGCUAUGUUAGCCGGGCGACGGUUGUCCCGGUUUAAGCAUGUAGGCGGAGAGUUUAGGUAAAUCCGGACUCUUUUUAACGCUGAGGUGUGAUGACGAGGCACUACGGUGCUGAAGUAACAAAUGCCCUGCUUCCAGGAAAAGCCUCUAAGCAUCAGGUAACAUCAAAUCGUACCCCAAACCGACACAGGUGGUCAGGUA